rnacentral:rRNA from 1 species
UGGUGGGUAGUUUGACUGGGGCGGUCUCCUCCCAAAGCGUAACGGAGGAGCACGAAGGUUAGCUAAUCCUGGUCGGACAUCAGGAGGUUAGUGCAAUGGCAUAAGCUAGCUUGACUGCGAGCGUGACGGCGCGAGCAGGUGCGAAAGCAGGUCAUAGUGAUCCGGUGGUUCUGAAUGGAAGGGCCAUCGCUCAACGGAUAAAAGGUACUCCGGGGAUAACAGGCUGAUACCGCCCAAGAGUUCAUAUCGACGGCGGUGUUUGGCACCUCGAUGUCGGCUCAUCACAUCCUGGGGCUGAAGUAGGUCCCAAGGGUAUGGCUGUUCGCCAUUUAAAGUGGUACGCGAGCUGGGUUUAGAACGUCGUGAGACAGUUCGGUCCCUAUCUGCCGUGGGCGCUGGAGAAUUGAGGGGGGCUGCUCCUAGUACGAGAGGACCGGAGUGGACGCAUCACUGGUGUUCGGGUUGUCAUGCCAAUGGCACUGCCCGGUAGCUAAAUGCGGAAGAGAUAAGUGCUGAAAGCAUCUAAGCACGAAACUUGCCC